rnacentral:rRNA from 1 species
CAUGCCGCGUGUGUGAAGAAGGCUUUCGGGUUGUAAAGCACUUUCAGUGAGGAGGAAGGCCUUAAGGUUAAUACCCUUGAGGAUUGACGUUACUCACAGAAGAAGCACCGGCUAACUCCGUGCCAGCACCUUCGGUGACUGAGCGGGCUGGCAAGGCGCAUA